AGUGAACGCUGGCGGUAGGCCUAACACAUGCAAGUCGAACGGCAGCACAGUAAGAGCUUGCUCUUACGGGUGGCGAGUGGCGGACGGGUGAGGAAUACAUCGGAAUCUACUUUUUCGUGGGGGAUAACGUAGGGAAACUUACGCUAAUACCGCAUACGACCUACGGGUGAAAGCAGGGGAUCUUCGGACCUUGCGCGAUUGAAUGAGCCGGUGUCGGAUUAGCUAGUUGGCGGGGUAAAGGCCCACCAAGGCGACGAUCCGUAGCUGGUCUGGGAGGAUGAACCGGCCAACUGGGACUGAGGACCGGGCCCAGACCCCUCGGGGAGGAACAGUGGGGAAUUUUUGGACAUUGGGGGAAACCUUAACCAGGCAAUCCGCCGUGGGUGAAGAGGGCUUUCGGUUUGUAAAGCCCUUUUGUGGGGAAGAAAAGCCGGAGGUUUAUUCCCCCGCUGUUCGGCGGGUCCCAAAAGAUAAAGAACCGCUUACUUCGUG
rnacentral:rRNA from 1 species